rnacentral:rRNA from 2 species
AAGUCGAGCGGAUUGAUGGGAGCUUGCUCCCUGAUAUCAGCGGCGGACGGGUGAGUAACACGUGGGUAACCUGCCUGUAAGACUGGGAUAACUCCGGGAAACCGGGGCUAAUACCGGAUAACUCAUUUCCUCGCAUGAGGAAAUGUUGAAAGGUGGCUUCUAGCUAUCACUUACAGAUGGACCCGCGGCGCAUUAGCUAGUUGGUGAGGUAACGGCUCACCAAGGCGACAAUGCGUAGCCGACCUGAAAGGGUGAUCGGCCACACUGGGACUGAAACACGGCCCAAACUCCUACGGGAGGCAGCAGUAGGGAAUCUUCCGCAAUGGACGAAAGUCUGACGGAGCAACGCCGCGUGAGUGAUGAAGGUUUUCGGAUCGUAAAGCUCUGUUGUUAGGGAAAAACAAGUGCCGUUCGAAUAGGGCGGCACCUUGACGGUACCUAACCAGAAAGCCACGGCUAACUACGUGCCAGCAGCCGCGGUAAUACGUAGGUGGCAAGCGUUGUCCGGAAUUAUUGGGCGUAAAGCGCGCGCAGGUGGUUUCUUAAGUCUGAUGUGAAAGCCCACGGCUCAACCGUGGAGGGUCAUUGGAAACUGGGGAACUUGAGUGCAGAAGAGGAAAGUGGAAUUCCAAGUGUAGCGGUGAAAUGCGUAAAUAUUUGGAGGAACACCAGUGGCGAAGGCGACUUUCUGGUCUGUAACUGACACUGAGGCGCGAAAGCGUGGGGAGCAAACAGGAUUAGAUACCCUGGUAGUCCACGCCGUAAACGAUGAGUGCUAAGUGUUAGGGGGUUUCCGCCCCUUAGUGCUGCAGCUAACGCAUUAAGCACUCCGCCUGGGGGAGUACGGUCGCAAGACUGAAACUCAAAGGAAUUGACGGGGCCCCGCACAGCGGUGUAGCAUGUGGUUAAUUCGAAGCACCGCGAGAACCUUACCAGGUCUGACUCUCUGACAACCCUAGAGAAGGCUUUCCCUUCGGGGACGAUGACAGUGAUGCAUGGUUGUCGUCGCUCGUGUCGUGAAAAUGUCGG